rnacentral:tRNA from 1 species
AAGGCUUUGGCUUAAUUAAAGUGUUUGAGUUGCAUUCAGAAGAUGUGGGAUAAACCCCCGCAAGUCUUA